GACGAACGCUGGCGGCGUGCUUAACACAUGCAAGUCGAACGGAAAGGCCCUGCUUUUGUGGGGUGCUCGAGUGGCGAACGGGUGAGUAACACGUGAGUAACCUGCCCUUGACUUUGGGAUAACUUCAGGAAACUGGGGCUAAUACCGGAUAGGAGCUCCUGCUGCAUGGUGGGGGUUGGAAAGUUUCGGCGGUUGGGGAUGGACUCGCGGCUUAUCAGCUUGUUGGUGGGGUAGUGGCUUACCAAGGCUUUGACGGGUAGCCGGCCUGAGAGGGUGACCGGCCACAUUGGGACUGAGAUACGGCCCAGACUCCUACGGGAGGAAGCAGUGGGGAAUAUUGCACAAUGGGCGGAAGCCUGAUGCAGCAACGCCGCGUGCGGGAUGACGGCCUUCGGGUUGUAAACCGCUUUGGCCUGUGACGAAGCGUGAGUGACGGUAAUGGGUAAAGAAGCACCGGCUAACUACGUG
rnacentral:rRNA from 1 species